ACCGGAUAGGACGAAAGUUUAAAGGUGCUUCGGCACCACUGAUGGAUGAGCCUGCGGCGCAUUAGCUAGUUGGUAGGGUAAAGGCCUACCAAGGCGACGAUGCGUAGCCGACCUGAGAGGGUGAACGGCCACACUGGGACUGAGACACGGCCCAGACUCCUACGGGAGGCAGCAGUAGGGAAUCUUCGGCAAUGGGCGAAAGCCUGACCGAGCAACGCCGCGUGAAUGAUGAAGGCCUUCGGGUUGUAAAAUUCUGUUAUAAGGGAAGAAUGGCUCUAGUAGGAAAUGGCUAGAGUGUGACGGUACCUUAUGAGAAAGCCACGGCUAACUACGUGCCAGCAGCCGCGGUAAUACGUAGGUGGCGAGCGUUAUCCGGAAUUAUUGGGCGUAAAGAGCGCGCAGGUGGUUGAUUAAGUCUGAUGUGAAAGCCCACGGCUUAACCGUGGAGGGUCAUUGGAAACUGGUCAACUUGAGUGCAGAAGAGGGAAGUGGAAUUCCAUGUGUAGCGGUGAAAUGCGUAGAGAUAUGGAGG
rnacentral:rRNA from 1 species